CUGAACCCUGCACAUGGGAACAACCAAGUGUGUCCCCAAGAUGCAGCCUCAGACCUAGACAGCUACAGUCCUAUACGAUCAUCUGAAGGUCCUGACAGCUCUGCACAGUACAAUUUCAUUUAUCAAGGGAAAUGAGUAAAGUGCCAGAUUCUAGACCCAUUUUGGCUAUGAAUUGAAGGGGAGGUGGGAAGCACAGUAUCUCAUUAUGUUGCCUGUACUAGGAACAGAUAAACACAAACACACAGGCAACAGGGAUUUGGGGAAACACCGUGUCAGCGCUGCAGUCAGCCAAGCGCAGUGCCGGCGCUAUCCCCCAACCCUCAAAGUGCCUUGGCCCAGGAGAAAAGAAACCCGCUGGCCAUUCACUGCAGCUGGCCAGAGAGGGGAACCUCGACCAUGUCUGGUGAAAGGAGUGAACUCAUUGGGACACAGCCUCGAAAAAGCAGUAACAAAAACACGUGAAUGCCUACGAACAUUCACUGUGUUUUCUCCGUGGACUCCCUACUGCUAUUCCACGGUCUCCACUUUCAGCUCUCGCUGUUUCUCGUGUGAGCCUAUCCCUUUGGACAGUCCACUUUGGGAGGGGGUCAUGGAGCCAGGGCUCCCUCUCAAUAGGAAUGGAAAGGACCCUGCAAGAAUCAACACCUAUUUUUAUCCUAGUUGUGAAAACAAGGUGCCUCCAAUUCUCUAUGUCCAUCACAGCUGAAUACCAACAAGGUGCAGUUCAGUCUGUCAGUGACUUCUGGUUUUUGUUGGAAGCCAACGCAAUACAGAACUCAACAUGCAGGUCAGAAGAGAAACACUGAGGAAGUGAAAGGAAACACCUGGAGUCGGGCCAAUGUCUAAAGUAAAAAGAGAAAGCAAAGGAGAAAAAUGAUGCAGUACCGCAGCCCAAACGACUCCCCCACAUGGCCACCUCCGAUCCUCUGGGGAACCCCAUGUGCUGCUAGGAAAACGAGCUGGGAGGAAAAGGACAGAAGGAAAAUGGGGAAGCAGUGGUAGAAAGAAAAAAACGCACAAACAGGCACUAGAUAGAUACAGCAAAGCCCAGAAUGUACUAAAAACCACUUGUUGACAGCUGGCAUGCACUCACAACAAGCUGUGUUUCCACUGUGGGGAGGCCAGUGGCAGGUAUGGGAGUGGAAGCUGC
rnacentral:lncRNA from 1 species